CCUACGGGAGGCUGCAGUGAGGAAUAUUGGUCAAUGGCCGGAAGGCUGAACCAGCCAAGCCGCGUGAGGGAGGGAGGCGCAGAGCGUCGCAGACCUCUUUUGCCGGGGGACAAAAGGCCGGACUCGUCCGGUCCUGAGGGUACCCGGAGAAAAAGCAUCGGCUAACUCCGUGCCAGCAGCCGCGGUAAUACGGAGGAUGCGAGCGUUAUCCGGAUUUAUUGGGUUUAAAGGGUGCGUAGGCGGUUUUAUAAGUUAGAGGUGAAAAUUCGGGGCUCAACUCCGGACGUGCCUCUAAUACUGUAUGACUAGAGAAUAGAUGCGGUAGGCGGAAUGUAUGGUGUAGCGGUGAAAUGCGUAGAGAUCAUACAGAACACCGAUUGCGAAGGCAGCUUACCAAACUAUAUCUGACGUUGAGGCACGAAAGCGUGGGGAGCAAACAGGAUUAGAUACCCUUGUAGUC
rnacentral:rRNA from 1 species